rnacentral:rRNA from 2 species
AAAUUGAAGAGUUUGAUCAUGGCUCAGAUUGAACGCUGGCGGCAGGCCUAACACAUGCAAGUCGAACGGUAACAGGAAGCAGCUUGCUGCUUCGCUGACGAGUGGCGGACGGGUGAGUAAUGUCUGGGAAACUGCCUGAUGGAGGGGGAUAACUACUGGAAACGGUGGCUAAUACCGCAUAACGUCGCAAGACCAAAGAGGGGGACCUUCGGGCCUCUUGCCAUCAGAUGUGCCCAGAUGGGAUUAGCUUGUUGGUGAGGUAACGGCUCACCAAGGCGACGAUCCCUAGCUGGUCUGAGAGGAUGACCAGCCACACUGGAACUGAGACACGGUCCAGACUCCUACGGGAGGCAGCAGUGGGGAAUAUUGCACAAUGGGCGCAAGCCUGAUGCAGCCAUGCCGCGUGUAUGAAGAAGGCCUUCGGGUUGUAAAGUACUUUCAGCGGGGAGGAAGGUGUUGUGGUUAAUAACCGCAGCAAUUGACGUUACCCGCAGAAGAAGCACCGGCUAACUCCGUGCCAGCAGCCGCGGUAAUACGGAGGGUGCAAGCGUUAAUCGGAAUUACUGGGCGUAAAGCGCACGCAGGCGGUCUGUCAAGUCGGAUGUGAAAUCCCCGGGCUCAACCUGGGAACUGCAUUCGAAACUGGCAGGCUUGAGUCUUGUAGAGGGGGGUAGAAUUCCAGGUGUAGCGGUGAAAUGCGUAGAGAUCUGGAGGAAUACCGGUGGCGAAGGCGGCCCCCUGGACAAAGACUGACGCUCAGGUGCGAAAGCGUGGGGAGCAAACAGGAUUAGAUACCCUGGUAGUCCACGCCGUAAACGAUGUCUACUUGGAGGUUGUGCCCUUGAGGCGUGGCUUCCGGAGCUAACGCGUUAAGUAGACCGCCUGGGGAGUACGGCCGCAAGGUUAAAACUCAAAUGAAUUGACGGGGGCCCGCACAAGCGGUGGAGCAUGUGGUUUAAUUCGAUGCAACGCGAAGAACCUUACCUGGUCUUGACAUCCACGGAACUUUCCAGAGAUGGAUUGGUGCCUUCGGGAACCGUGAGACAGGUGCUGCAUGGCUGUCGUCAGCUCGUGUUGUGAAAUGUUGGGUUAAGUCCCGCAACGAGCGCAACCCUUAUCCUUUGUUGCCAGCGGUCCGGCCGGGAACUCAAAGGAGACUGCCAGUGAUAAACUGGAGGAAGGUGGGGAUGACGUCAAGUCAUCAUGGCCCUUACGACCAGGGCUACACACGUGCUACAAUGGCGCAUACAAAGAGAAGCGACCUCGCGAGAGCAAGCGGACCUCAUAAAGUGCGUCGUAGUCCGGAUUGGAGUCUGCAACUCGACUCCAUGAAGUCGGAAUCGCUAGUAAUCGUGGAUCAGAAUGCCACGGUGAAUACGUUCCCGGGCCUUGUACACACCGCCCGUCACACCAUGGGAGUGGGUUGCAAAAGAAGUAGGUAGCUUAACCUUCGGGAGGGCGCUUACCACUUUGUGAUUCAUGACUGGGGUGAAGUCGUAACAAGGUAACCGUAGGGGAACCUGCGGUUGGAUCACCUCCUUA